AUUUUUGGGGCCUUGCUUGAAUGGGGCGCGCGAGUGUUUCAGAGCUUGUUUGAAUGCUUGUGCGCGUGUUCCUGUGUCGUGAUCACGCGCACGUCGGCGCGUGCCUUGCCUGCGUGCGCCUUGUCUGAGCCUAGUACACACGUGUUCAACCCACAACCAACGAAAGCCUUAUUUUUCGGACUCAUGUUUGAAUUCUGAUUGCCCAUAUGAUUUUUCCAUCUUUUCUCUAUCUUUCAAGGCCAUCUGGAAGUGCCGUUAUGCAUCCCCUGUACAUAGCGUCAACAUGCCCGUGCUAGCCUGCACACAGACAUGCGUGUCGCGAUCAUUGUUUGCUAACACUCGCCCUGGCAUGACCCUCCGUGCGGUUUGGUUUCACGUGUAGAUUUUCUAGUUAUUUCAUUAAUGGCCCAUAAGCUGGAACUUUUGUACUCCUCAAGUUUACAAUAACAAGAAGAUCCACAUAUUUCAUAAAAUGUCACUGGCACUCCUAAAUUAAGGGUGUCUAUUAAAAACCCCGAAAAUGAUAAAGGAAGAUUCCAGUUUUAUUGAACUACUCAAUCGUGAGCUGGGCAGAUUCAAACUAGCGCCAAAGUAUUAAUACCGGAGCCCGCUUUUACUGUCCGUGUCUUUUUUACCGUUAUUCAAUUUCUUACAAUUCAGUGAAAUGAAAUUUUAGGAAAUCAGUCAAGCAUGAGGACGCCUGUAUUCAAAUCGAAGCUGUCCGUUAUAGGGCUUAUUGUUUCAAUUGUUGCAUACGCAACGACGCGCUCAAGCGGAGAAUCGUCGACGUGUUUGACGGUGUACAAAGAAGGCGGUGCACCGGCUGUGUUUCAAUCUCCAAAAUGCCCUCGCUGGAAGCUUCCAAAUUACGAUUCCCGGUCACGCACCACCCGUCGUUGUCAAUCGGCCAUGCUUAUGGGCCGAAGGAAAUCUCAGGAGGAUCGCACUCUCUGUGCGCUCGACCUUCACAUUCCCUUCCCUGGUCGUGGAGGGCUUAAGGAGGUUACAGUAGGAAUUGUGGCAGUUUUUGAUGGCCAUAAUGGUGCUGAAGCUAGUGAAAUGGCUUCCAAGCUUUUAUUGGAGUAUUUUGCUUUGCAUACAUAUUUUCUUUUGGAUGCUACAUAUUCUGUUGUAUUGAAGAAAUCAACUGGAAGGUUGCCAAAUAAGGGGGAACCGGAUAUUGUUUCUCAAGUGCUUAAUUGGGACGAAGAACUGGGUCAGCAUGAAUUGAACUUUGAAAGGUUUAAGGUCUCUUUGCCUGUGAAUUUAGAUGAUUCUUUUCACUUGGAAAUUUUGAAAGAAGCAUUGUUAAGGGCAAUCCAUGAUAUUGAUGCGACAUUUUCUAAGGAAGCAUCCAGAAAGAAUCUUGUUUCGGGCUCUACAGCUGCAGUUGUGCUAAUAGCGGAGGGCCAAAUUUUAGUUGCCAAUGUUGGAGAUUCAAAAGCUCUUUUGUGCUCUGAAAAAUUUCAGUCACCUGGGGAGGCUAAAGCCACUUUAUUAAGGUUAUACAAGGAGCAAAGGCGUAAUGGUGUUUCACGAUCUAGAGGUCAUAAUAACUUUAAAUUCCCAACCACUGAUGGACUAGCUCUUUUUACUGUCAAGGAAUUGACUAGAGAUCAUCAUCCUGAUAGAGAUGAUGAAAAGUUCCGAGUGGAAGCUGCUGGUGGUUAUGUUCUGGAGUGGGAUGGUGUACCACGAGUAAAUGGUCAGCUGGCUGUUUCUCGAGCUAUUGGUGAUUUGUCUUAUAAAAGUUAUGGUGUUAUAUCUGCACCAGAGGUAACAGAUUGGCAAUCUCUGACAGAGAAUGAUACCUAUUUGGUAGCUGCAUCUGAUGGUGUAUUUGAGAAGCUAAGCUUGCAGGAUAUAUGUGAUAUAUUGUGGGAAUUGCAUACUGAUGGUGUCGUUGGAUCAGGACUCUCUCCUUCAUGCCUAUAUUCAUUAGCUGACUGCUUAGUGAAUUCUGCCUUUGAAAAGGGCACCAUGGACAAUAUGGCAGCUGUUGUGGUUCCAUUAGGAUCUACUUAUGUUUCUCAAAACCAGCUGAGAGAAACAUGUGUAGAAGAGGGACAUAUGGAUUGCUCUACCAAAGGACUACAGAAGUCCAUACAUAGACAGUCAGAUAAUGACAAAGCUAUUGACCUAGUACGGUUGAAACAUGCUCAUCCACUUAUGAACAAAUUUGACAGGUUAUUGGUUGAAGGAAAACAUGGAAGUUUUAACUGUUUUUAUUUAUCUGAAAACCUUGAUGACAAUGCCGAUAACAAACUGAGGGCUCGAAAGGAUGGACCAGAAGAUUAUGUGUAUGACUUUUCACAGGCGCUACCCGACAGCCUUGACCAUCGUUAUGGCGGACCUCUAUAUUCUUAUAGUGACCAAAAUAUCUGCUUGCAUUUUGGAAUGACAGUAGAUGGAAGUAAAGAUCAAUGCAUCAAUUCUGAAGGCUUUGCUAGUUUCCUUGGUCUGCUUGAAUCAAUACCCUUCCACACUGUUGGUUCAGAUUAUGGAUCAAAUGAGAAUGCAAUGCCUGACUUGAGGUACAUACUAAAAAAAAGGUUUGCUCGUGGAUCAUAUGGUGAAGUAUGGUUGGCCUUUCAUUGGAACUGUCAUAAUGGCAGUGACGCUUCAAAGUGGAGUGAAAAAAGUAAAAAUAUCUCAGACAGUACUAUUCUUGAAGAAUCACACACCAGAAAUUUGCAAAAUGGCUCAAACAAUGAUUGCCAUGCUGGUUCUUCUAAUGAUAACUUGUUCAUUUUGAAACGUAUAAUGGUGGAGAGAGGGACCAAUGUUUACUUAAGUGGUCUGCGAGAGAAGUAUUUUGGUGAGCUCUUCUUAAAUGCCUCUACGUGUCUUGGAGGUUUAGUGUUGUCUGGAAUAUCUGAACCUUUUACAGAAGAAUCAAGAUCAUAUUAUGAUGACCUAUUAGAGACAAAUGAAUCGUCUUUCCAUGACUUUGGAAGCGGCUGGAUUUUUGAGAACAACUUUAUGAACAUAUUUAGAUGGCAGAGAGCUUCCUUUGAGGAAGGUUUGAACCAUAUUGCAAGAUAUGUGGAGUCUUUUGAAUCUCAAUCUAAUGAAAUAUGGCUGGUAUUUCAUCAUGAAGGCGUGUCCUUGUCAAAGCUAAUAUAUACUGUGGAAGAAGCAGAAAGUCAGCCUGAUGAAGAAAAUGUGGAGGAGGUAAAGCAUGUGCAGGUACUGCGUCCAUCAAAAUGGUGGCAUUGGUUGAAGACGACAGAAGCAGGGCAAGAGGAAAUGCGCACUCUUAUAUGGCAGUUGUUGAUGGCACUCAAGUCUUGUCAUGAUCGCAAUAUCACCCACAGGGAUAUCAAACCUGAAAACAUGGUGAUAUGCUUUGAAGAUCGGAACACUGGGAGAUGCUUGAAAGGAACUCCAAGUGAAGAUAAGAAUUUUACCACCAGAAUGCGUAUUAUCGACUUUGGUAGCGCCAUAGAUGAGUUCACAUUGAAGCACUUAUAUGGAUCAACUGGACCGUCAAGAGCCGAACAAACUUAUGAAUAUGCUCCUCCUGAAGCUUUUCUCAAUUCUAGUUGGUAUCAAGAUCCAACAGGCACAACUUUGAAGUAUGAUAUGUGGAGCGUUGGUGUAGUAAUCUUAGAGCUGAUUUUAGGAUCACCAGAUGUUUUUCAGAUAAGUGCCUUGACACGCUCUCUUUUGGAUCACCAUCUGGAGGGAUGGAAUGAUGAAUUAAAGGAGCUUGCUUACAAACUUAGAUCUUUCAUGGAAUUGUGUAUCCUAAUACCUGGCAAUUCCUUGAAGCAUAUGCGCAGUACAAACCAAGGUAGAUUGUCACCUGCUGCUUGGAAAUGCUCUGAAGAGUUCUUUUCUCAACAAAUAAAGAGUCGAGAUCCUCUUAAAAUGGGGUUUCCAAAUGUUUGGGCAAUGCGGUUAGUGCGCCAACUUUUGCUUUGGGACCCUGAGGAACGCAUGAGCGUCGAUGAUGCACUUCAGCAUCCUUAUUUCCAACAUUCCAAAAGAUGAGAUUCUUUCCAUGUAGAUGCAGAUUUUAUAAUUCUCUUCAGAUGAGCUAUCAUUACUUAAGACUCCUGAAGAUGUUACAAAAUUCUGAAAUAGGAAGCUUCAACAAAUUGUGGUUGGUGAUAAAAAAACUGAAUAGAUCAGUUAGAUUAUGAAUGUGUCUCUGCUGCCGACUGUUCUAUGCCAUCCUGUCUGUUGCACAGUAACUGUAGUUAGACAAGCAACCAAUUUUCACUAAGAACAAAUUGGUGACCAUGAUAGUGAUCUUGCAAUCCACCUCAGUUUUUGCAGAGGAAGGCAGCAAGGUUGGAACUUUUUCAGUGAUGACAGCUGCGUAUAGUGAAGAACGCAAUCCAUUUCCACUAUAUAUUGAUAGAAUGUGAAGGUAUGUCUUGAUAGCACGUCACUUGUCUUGAAAUCUCUUUGCAUUUGGUCUAGAUCUGCCACCCGAGUCCUUGAGGCCCUUAAAGACUUUCAUAAGUCAGAAAUUACUGCAACAAUCAUACUCAUGGCUGAUAGUCAAAUUUUGAUUGCUUGCUUAGUCACUCAAAGGAAUUUCAUAACUCGUGCUCUAAGAAAUGCCUACCUUGUCCGGAAGUUGAUACUUGAAGGGUAAGAAUUUCCGUCAGUGAAUUAGACCUGAACCUUUAUUUUAUUGAAGUUUUCAUCAUUAACCUUUAAAUAAUCUUCUUGUUUAUCUAAUCCUAAAUCAUUCAUUUCGUACAAGUUCAUUACAGGGCUGACACAUUUGUAAAGCAUUCGUCCAUUAUGGUUUACAAUCACUGUUUAUUCAAUUUUUCGCCAUCUAUGGCAUUAUGUCUAUGCCAUAUGUGACAUACUGGCAGCUUCUAACCCCCAAAAAUAUACUUAUUUGGUGGUUUCUCCAGAUGACAUAUUUGAGUUAUGAGGAGUUUAAACCCCAGGAUAUUUAUGAUCUUUUUACAAGAUCAUCCUUACCAGGACAGAAAGGUCGGAUCUGUUCUUCAGCCCGGUACCCCUUUAACCGACUGCACAUUGGGGACUGCUCAGCAUGGACUACUGAUCUGUUAUUGGCUGUUGUUUAGGGAUCAUCUGGUUUUUCCGUAGAGCUCAUAAAAUGCUUUUUAUACUAAUGAAAAAUCGAGCCUUUAACAGCACAGCAAAUAUGGUCAGUUUGCAGCAUUACAUUUAACACUCAAAAAAGGGUUUUAGGACUUGGGGAGUACAAGUUUUGUUUAUAUUAAUUUAAAAUAAAAAUAAUAAAAAUUAAAUUUAAAAUUAAAUGAUGUCAGCAACAUUCAUUGUUGGUAACAUUGAGUAUUGUAUUAAUAGAUAUGAUUUCAAUUCAUUCUCAA